rnacentral:rRNA from 1 species
UACGUAGGGUGCAAGCGUUUGUCCGGAAUUAUUGGGCGUAAAGAGCUCGUAGGCGGUUUGUCGCGUCUGCUGUGAAAUCCCAGGGCUUAACCCUGGGCCUGCAGUGGGUACGGGCAAACUAGAGUGCGGUAGGGGAGAUCGGAAUUCCUGGUGUAGCGGUGAAAUGCGCAGAUAUCAGGAGGAACACCGGUGGCGAAGGCGGAUCUCUGGGCCGUAACUGACGCUGAGGAGCGAAAGCAUGGGUAGCGAACAGG